UACGUAGGGGGCAAGCGUUGUCCGGAUUCAUUGGGCGUAAAGAGCGUGUAGGCGGUCAGGUAGGUCGGUUGUGAAAACUGGAGGCUCAACCUUCAGAGGUCGACCGAAACCCCCUGGCUAGAGUCCGGGAGAGGAGAGUGGAAUUCCUGGUGUAGCGGUGAAAUGCGCAGAUAUCAGGAAGAACACCCGUGGCGAAAGCGGCUCUCUGGAACGGUACUGACGCUGAGACGCGAAAGCGUGGGGAGCGAAACAGG
rnacentral:rRNA from 1 species